rnacentral:lncRNA from 1 species
GAAUUGGUUCUUUGUAGAUGAGUUCCCUUUAGUCUCUGGAGGUUGCUCUGAACUCUGUUAGCUCUUCUCUCACUAUCUUUUUCCCAGCCAGGGUAAUAGGAAUAGAAAUGCCCUUUUGUUUCACUAAAACUCUGAAUUUAUAACCUGAUUUUUGUGGACCUGUGGGCUCAGAUGAGAGAGGCCCAAGUCCAAAAUUUUUCUGUUAUAUUUUAUUUAUUU